rnacentral:rRNA from 1 species
CCUACGGGUGGCUGCAGUGGGGAAUAUUGGACAAUGGGCGCAAGCCUGAUCCAGCCAUGCCGCGUGAAUGAUGAAGGCCUUCGGGUUGUAAAGUUCUUUUAGUGGAGAAAAUAAUGAUGGUAUCCGCAGAAAAAGCCCCGGCUAACUUCGUGCCAGCAGCCGCGGUAAUACGAAGGGGGCUAGCGUUGUUCGGAAUUACUGGGCGUAAAGCGUUUGUAGGCGGUUAGAUAAGUCAGAUGUGAAAGCCUGGGGCUUAACCUCAGAAUUGCAUUUGA